CGCCACCCGCACACCAAUCCACCCCAGCCACGCUGCGACCUCGGCGCCGGCGCGCCGCCAACACCCCCGUCAGCCGGAUCCACCUCCACAUAUGCCCCGCCGCCGCGCCUCUCCGAGCUCAGGCCUUGGCCCUCCCCCGCGCGCACGGCCGAAGCGACGAGCCACCGCCGACAGAAACCCCGGCUGCAGAAUCCCCUUCGGAGGCACCUCGACAGUCGCCUCCCUCGAGUGAAACAGAUAGGGCACCUGAACUGAAGGUGUGGUGAGAUGGAAUGAUGAGCACUUGACGGUAUAACGAACUCGUGGUGAAACCCAUUUGCAUGAAGAAGCUACAUGUGUGCCAUCUGUUCAACAGAAAGAUUUUCCGGGGGUUGAUGUUGAAGCUUUUUCUGAGAAGAAUCUUCACCAAUCACCCAGC